CCCCAUUUUUUCAUUCUUUCUAAAACAUCAGUGUGAAGAAUUUCCAAUAGAGAAAUUUCUACACAAGAAGGAAUUUAGCCUAUAAAACAUAGGCAUAUAAAACAGAACAAACCUCAGGAAAAACAGUGCACUAGCCUUAAGCUGUUUUUCUAAAACUAAGACUCAUUUUGUAUUUCUUUAAUAAUUAGACAAUCCUGUAACAAGCAGUUACUGAAAAUUUACUGCAGAGAAUAACACUUAUCAAGUACCCUUCUAGCACUAACAUAGCUUCAAUAACUGUUAUUGCAACAAAUUCCAACAGAUGCUGGAUGACUUUUCAAGAGGCACAGUCAACACCCUCAAAUUUUGUUUUGCAAGUAAAUGAAAAGCAUUUUUAAAUCAAGCAAGGCAUCGGUACCAUAUCAAUGCUUUAAAACUGCAUACCUCAAGUAACAAACGUCCUACAAACUUCCCCUAAUUUCGAGAGCAUAUAGUUGUUUUCUAUGUUCAUAUUUUAACCGAAGUAUGCCGAGUGCUUUUUGGCAUGUUUGGAUAGAAACGUAAAGAGUCUCAAGUCUUGUCGUAUAAAGCUUUUCAAAGCUAUGGGCCUCACUGCCAAAGAAAUUUUUUCAUGCUCCUACAGCUUUCGCCUUCCUGAUUUGCAAAUCUGUUGUUCCUAACUUUUCGUGGUCAGGAUGAUAGCAAACAGAUGAGGCUGAGCAGUACUUUCUGAACAGACCAAGCAUCAGCUUAAAUUUAAAAUCAGAAUGCUAAAGUCAAUGCUCAACAAAGAGUUAACAGUGUAGAAAAGCCUAGAGCAAUAAGUUCAUUUUACUCUGGGCUACUUAGUGCAUGGAUGGCCAGAAGUGGAACCUGCUGGACCUCUUUCAAGAGUACUGCUUUCUUCCUUUUGCUCCAUGGCCUGUCGUUAUCAACCCGCGGAUAACGAGCGUACGGAUCAUCAUCAUCAAGACAGUGUCCCACAGCCUCGUGGCCCAUAAUUAAGCGUGGUGGGAUAUGACAACAACAAGAGGACAUCACGAAGCCUCCGGACGAUGAGCAGUAACGUCCCUUGCUGCCGCUGUACCAACUGCUGAAGGACCUUUCCGUUGGAAGGGCUGUGGAAGGCUAGAGCCAUCAUCCUAAAAGCAGGACGAUCAACAUCCUUGACUAAACCUCCACCCAAAAGAUGCUAGAAAUGUGUUAAAUUACAGGCUAGCGAGAGAGAGCAAAAUAAAGAGAAAUUGGAAUGAAAACA
rnacentral:lncRNA from 1 species